GAUGAACGCUGGCGGCGUGCCUAAUACAUGCAAGUCGAGCGAACGGACGAGAAGCUUGCUUCUCUGCUGUUAGCGGCGGACGGGUGAGUAACACGUGGAUAACCUACCUAUAAGACUGGGAUAACUUCGGGAAACCGGAGCUAAUACCGGCUAAUAUUUUGAACCGCAUGGUUCAAAAGUGAAAGACGGUCUUGCUGUCACUUAUAGAUGGAUCCGCGCUGCAUUAGCUAGUUGGUAAGGUAACGGCGUACCAAGGCAACGAUGCAUAGCCGACCUGAGAGGGUGAUCGGCCACACUGGAACUGAGACACGGUCCAGACUCCUACGGGAGGCAGCAGUAGGGAAUCUUCCGCAAUGGGCGAAAGCCUGACGGAGCAACGCCGCGUGAGUGAUGAAGGUCUUCGGGUCGUAAAACUCUGUUAUUAGGGAAGAACAUAUGUGUAAGUAACUGUGCACAUCUUGACGGUACCUAAUCAGAAAGCCACGGCUAACUACGUG
rnacentral:rRNA from 1 species